UUGUCAAACCGGUCGAAACUGGUUUGGGUCGGCCACUUUUCCCGGAUCUCCUUUUGAGUUGGUGCAUUGCUGAACUGUGCGUCACGACAACACUUAACUUUCUGGGUCAAUGUUAGUGAAAUAAAUAUAUAUGCUUCAGUUGGUGGAUUGAUUAAUCUAGUUUAUUGCGUUAAACUUUUAAGUGAAAUAAAACCACUUGGCCUAUAUAAUAAUUAGAAGCAGCGAUGUUGAUGUAUAUUGCAGUCGUUUGAAUAGCACCACCUAAAAUGGAUCCACUUUUCGUGAGGGGAUAGACUGAAGUUGCUUGAAGGCCGUCCAACUAGCUAUAUACCUUGUUUUCUCGGUUACCCGCCCUGGGGUUGUACACAGAGGGGCCUUUUAGUUCCCCACGCGGAUGUGCGGAUUGAGCAGGGGGUCCAGGUUUGGGUCUGAGUCCGCCGACACUCGUCCCAGCUUCGCCAUGAUGAUAAUCAGGGUGAAGAAUCCCAGAACUCCCAGCAGGAGAACAAGGAGAACUCGCUGCUUCAGUGUUAGAGCUGUCCGCUUUGAGCCCGACCGGUUUCUGUGGGGAGGGGAUGGUGGAUAGUAAGCAUAAGGAAAUCCAACGUCUAAAGUAAUUGGAAACAACAAAUGAACUGAGCAAUAUUAAGGAAUAUUCCAGAUAUGAACAGUUUUGUGACAGCUUUUAAUUCUGUCACUCACUGUAUGUAUUUCAACUGUAAGGGACAUCUUUCAGAAUGUUUCUCCCCUGGGUUAUCCAUAAAAUAUUAGGAUAAUCUUUGAAAACAACAUAUACAAUUGUAUUACAUUAUUCUAAAAAUGCAUGACAUUUUUUUUGGUUUAGAAUAUAGGUCUGAAUGCUGUUAAGAGUGAUCCACAGAACAGAAACCAGGAGAUGAGGUUAGAGAACACCGAGCUAUGGGAAACAAGUGUGUACAGGUACAGACGGAAGACGAGCUGGAGAAAACUGACUUGAGUAUCUGUGCAAACCAGCUGAGCGCUGGCCGGCGCCGGUACUUGUCGUCAUCGAAGUCGAUCUGCGUGACGGAGGAGUGUCCCGAUUCUCUGGUGUCGUAGACCUUCCUGGGAGAGGAGGCUGAGAGAGAAAUGGGGGGGGGAGAGUUAAGUCCCGAUUACACACAAAUUCAAUGUAACGUCAAACCAAAACUUCAACAUUCUAAAAUGGGACUGGCUUGGAAAAUAUAAAAAGAGAAGAGAGAAUAAAAAAAAAAAACGUGGUAACAAUGUACAAUAAAACACAAAGUGCACAGUAUUUUAGUUUUCUAAAAUAAUACAUUUAAACAAAAUUGUUUUACAGGCACUCCAGUAGCUGUUUUGACUCAUGAAGUGCUUAGUGGCCUUGGUGAGCCACAUACUCUGGUCUUAUGUUACUUAAGGCGCCGCUGGUCAGACAUUUUAUCUAAUCAGAGACAUGUAUACACUGGAUAUAAAUAGAAAGCAUCCCCCAACUCAUUCACUAUAUGGAUCAAAAAUUGACUGGUUUAAUUUUGAGUGUUAACACCCAGAGACAGAAACCGGAAACAAAACGGGUGGGGAGUUUAAUUUGGUAAUGCAAAAGUGUAAUAACCGACUGGCUGUCUUAACUAAAUAAUUUAGGUCAGGAAACUAAAACGGUUAAUUUGCUGCAAUAAUUAAACAAAGUUUCUAACUGAAAGACAGACAGGCAUACAGAAUAAGUUCCUGGAAGCCAGUUGCGAGACAUAGAAAUAACCCUUUGUUCUCUUCAUUAGUGCCAAAGGACUGUUUGGUGUUGCUGAUCCCUGCCCCCACAAAGCAGCGUCUCAAAUGAUCCUCUGGCCAGGCUGCCGGACUAUCUGACAAGAUAAUUGCAUUCCUGGGUGGGUCUGCCGAACGUCAAUAGGCAAAUGGCUGACCGGGCACAAGAUGAUUGGGUUUUACGCCAACCAGA